rnacentral:rRNA from 1 species
CCUACGGGAGGCAGCAGUGGGGAAUUUUGGACAAUGGGCGCAAGCCUGAUCCAGCAAUGCCGCGUGAGUGAAGAAGGCCUUCGGGUUGUAAAGCUCUUUUGUCAGGGAAGAAACGGUGGGAGCUAAUAUCUCCCGCUAAUGACGGUACCUGAAGAAUAAGCACCGGCUAACUACGUGCCAGCAGCCGCGGUAAUACGUAGGGUGCAAGCGUUAAUCGGAAUUACUGGGCGUAAAGCGUGCGCAGGCGGUUUUGUAAGUCUGUCGUGAAAGCCCCGGGCUCAACCUGGGAAUUGCGAUGGAGACUGCAAGGCUUGAAUCUGGCAGAGGGGGGUAGAAUUCCACGUGUAGCAGUGAAAUGCGUAGAGAUGUGGAGGAACACCGAUGGCGAAGGCAGCCCCCUGGGUCAAGAUUGACGCUCAUGCACGAAAGCGUGGGGAGCAAACAGGAUUAGAUACCCUGGUAGUCCACGCCCUAAACGAUGUCUACUAGUUGUCGGGUUUUAAUUAACUUGGUAACGCAGCUAACGCGUGAAGUAGACCGCCUGGGGAGUACGGUCGCAGAUUAAAACUCAAAUGAAAUUGACGG